rnacentral:lncRNA from 1 species
CAAGGAUGUUAGUUGGGCCAAUGUGCUAGCAGCUGGGGUCACUAUGCCUCUUUAAAAGGCCCCAUGAACUAGGCCCUGGCCCUUUGCAGGCCUAGCCAGAGCAGUGCAGAGCUGGGGGAGGAGUCCAGAAAGGAAAGGCCCAGGGACCGCUCUCCUAAAGCGGAUGUUUCUCCAUGUGUGUCCCUCUCCCCACUUGCUGUGAGAAGCCCUGGACAGCUCUUUCUUGCACCUUCUUCUCCACCCGCCCGAAGCCUGCUCCAUUCAGAUAAGUUCCUGUUGGGGUUGGAGCACAGGCCUGAGGGAGCCUAACCGUCAGCCUUGGAAUCCAGCUGUUCCUCCUCCUGCCCUGUGACCCCAGGCAAGUUCCUUCUCCUCUCAGUGCCUGCCUUCCUGUCGGUAACAUGGGGAGUGAAGGGUGGGGAGGGUAGGAGCAGGGUUGUAGUGAGGACUUCUAGCUCAGAGUACUUAGAGCAGAGCCAAGUGCUCAACAGCAACGAGUAGCUCCUAUUAUUACUAUUAUUAUUGCUGUUAGUCUUAGUGCUCCUUUGUGAAGCCUGAGCACUAGAGUCCUGAUCUUCGGCCCCCCAGGGGGUCUGAGCAGGGAUGAAGACCACCUCCCCUCCUGGCCGGAUCCAAAGCCAGCCUCCCCCAGUCAACCCCCGGGGUGGGUCCCAUGCUGAUUGGACCAGAUAAGGUAGGGGACAGUUUUGGGGGCAGAGGCUGUCCUAUUCCUUCUCCCACCAUGGGCCCCACUCUGGGGAAGAAUCAUAUUGCUCUUUGCUGUAAACAGACAGUUCUUGAAACGGGGGGCGGGGUGUGACAAAGCCUGGCCCUGUGUGUGGUCCACAGAGAGAUGGCGGGCCUCGCUGCCCAAUGCCAGGAACUGUUUGUGCUCUGCAGGCCAGCCUCUCUCCCCGCCCAGCCCCACCUUCCCACGGCCACAUCCACAGCCCCCAGGAGGUGUGCGAGACACCUCCAGGCAGAGGGUGGGGGCCCCUCGGGUCCUGAGGCUGAGGAGGCUGGCCUUCCGCUUCAGGCUGCCAUGUUCUCCAUUUUUUUCUUCAUUUGUCCCUAUGUAUCUGAAACGCACACAUUUCACUGCAAGUUCAGUCUCCUGCCACAGUCCUCAUGGAAAUACAAGAAUUUCUAGACAACAAGAUUUCUAGAUACAAGAUUUCUACCUGGAUACCAUAACUUUGUUCCAUCGCUUCCUGGGACACGUUACUGGGCCCCUUCCAUCAACUUUACCGAGGGGUGCUGUACCUGAUUUCUCUUUCCCAGUUCCUGGCUUCUUCUCCAUCCCCCUCCUGCCCCACCCCAGCCCCCAGCCCAGUGGUCCCAUGGCCUCUCCUUUAUUCCUCACCUCUGCCCUGUGGUCCUGUUUUCUCCCCCGAAGCUGGCCCUGCAGGAGACUUCCUGUUCCCAGGGUCUGGCACAGGCUGACCGUCGCCAGGGGCAGGGGGAGGCCCAGUCUAUGGACCAUUCCUGGGACCUUGACAUCACAACAAGCAAUCUGUGGGCCCUGGUUUUUAAAUGAUCUGUAAUUAAUGCUGUUUUUGUUAUUUAGCACUUUCUCAUCAAAGGGCUCAUUUAGGCCUUGCAAAACCUGACAGAUAAGGCCAAAUUUAAGGCUUCUCUUGGGAGUGGCUCCACCUGGGAGGAGUGCAAAGCUCCAGACUCCUCUGUCCACCUUGGGCUCCUGUGUCAAGUGUGAACUAAUUGCUAUGAAGGAUGGGCAACAGGAAGGGGAGAAGUUCCAUCUUCCGUUUCAGACCUGAGAGGCCUGAAGGCGUUGCCCAUGGCUGUCUCAAAGAUGAGUUCCUUUAUUCGGUUCUGAGGAUGGCCUGACCAUGGGGCCCUGGGGCCCACUGGCUGGAGGAGAGUCAAUAAUGUACCGACAGCACAGCCACAGAUCUGGCCAGACACCCCCUCUCUGAAGAGGCAACUCCCCUGUGCCUGGAGGCGAGCGUGGGUGUGGGAGGCGAGGGCUCAUGCAAUGGCAGGUGCUGAGCCUGCAGCUGAGGACGAGGGCAGAGGGGACUCCGCCCUGUCUCCUCUCCUGAUCUGGUUGGCAGCCGCCAGAAUUUUCGUCUCUGCUUGACCCCAGCCCUUCUUUCUUCCCUCCCCUCUGUGAGUCCUGGAGCUUGGAGAGCCCAGGGCUGGAAGGAGGCAUUGGUACAGGACCGUCUCCUUCCCAACCUGCUGUCUCGGGCUGUUCCCUCUGAUCUCAUCCUCCUUCUGUCCAGCUCAGUACCUCUGAAGCUGGCCGUCCUCCAAGUCUAACCUCAGAUCUCGCCUCCUCCAGGAAGACUUCCCUGAAUCUUGGCGUGGUGCUACCUCCCUUCCCAGAAUUCCUGGGGCAAAUAAAGUUUGUACCAGAAAGCUGCCACAUGCCACGUCCUCCGGUUGUGUGUGGACAUCAUUGAGACCGAUCACAAAAGCUCUGGCUCUCUCUCCUUCUGGACACUUGGAAGAGGUGUACAUCCCCGCCCACCUGAAUUCAGGCGGGGCCACGUGACUGGCCAUGUGAGUGGAAAUGGGUUGGUGAAAAGAGCCAGGUUUAACCUUGGUGUCUCCUGCCUCUGUGGAAGCCUGAAUCCCCUCGGCUUAUGGGGUGGAGAGCAGCUGGUCUCCUUCAGAUGUGUCCCCUGACCCUAUCCUGGGGAAACUGAGGCAGGAGGCAUCUGUUCUCUGUGGGAGCAUCCUGGAGAACACGAACCCUGCAAGCAGCAGGGCUUGCUUCUGGCUGGGUUAUGAUGUUUGGCUACCAGUUACUAACGCCCCCUGGGGCUGGCUUCAGGGAGCUCAGCUUAAGGAAUCGAGGGUGUCUUAAACGCAGGACGAGAGCCUUUGAAAUCUCCCCAACACUUUCUAAACAAAUAGAUACGUUUUUACCAAUGUGAAAUCAAAC